rnacentral:tRNA from 1 species
GGCAUGUAGCACAGUGGUAGAGCACUCGCCUAGCAUGCACGAGGCUCUGGGUUCAAUCCCCAGUACUGCCG